rnacentral:lncRNA from 1 species
CCGCACAUCAGAAUGGGACAUGGAGCUUUGCAAAGACCUUAACUGUUUUGUGACUCUGUGAAACCAUAAAGGAGAAUGAGCUUCGGAGGCUUCUGACCCUUAUUCUGAUGCUGGUGUAGAAAGCAGCUCAAAACAAAUCCACUGAAGACUGAACAGCAACAAAAUACUGGAAAGCAUUGCAAGGUGACAGUUAUUGGAAACCCACUGGAAGCAACGGUUCUUCUGCCUCUGACCUCAAAGCACAUUUGACCAGAAACCUGAAGGUAGCAUGAAUGUGGUAGUUUGUUUUUUUCCCUGGCAAGGACCCACAGCUCUGCUCUGGCUUGGAGGCUUGGAGGGGUGGACAAAUGCCAGGAGCCAUCCACUGUGGCUGUCUGCCAGGAGGAUGCAGAGGGGAGCAAUAAGAGAGCAGCUAUAGCAAACCUGGUGAGUGAGCUCUGUUCAUGCAGGAGGGAGAUGCAGACCCAGCCUCCCAAGUGGCCAAGCCAGCCAUGAAACAACUAGAAAAGCAGCUCAAACCUAUACUCCCCACUCUACCUUUUCCUGAGGAGGGUCUCUUCCAUGUCUUUUACCACCAGCUGGUCUCCAGGCACCUACAGAGACUUCUGAAAUUUCUCUCCUCAUCUUACUUGAUCACAGCAGUCGUCUCACCUCAGUCUUGCCUUUAUGGUGAGAUUAAUUUAUCCUUCCAACUCAUGUGCCUGUGAUCAAGACAGUGGAGUCUUCUAAUCAGUGGCAGACAAAAUGCUGUCCUUUUAUGGCAAAUUCUUUUUUUUUUCUUCUUCUUUUUUGCUUUUUCCCCAUCUAACCUUGUGUCUGGACAAUGUGAAAACUUUGGAGAAGAUGCUAUCAAUCCUGUUUGUUCUCCCUUCUAGUUUGAUCUUUCGGUGGGGAUAAUUCAUUCAUCCAGGCUCAGACCUCCUUUCUCACACUUCUGCAUGACAAGGUAUUAGAAGGACCUCUCCAUUUACUGAGAUAGCGAUCUGUCUGAAGGGAAGAAAGCAAAGACUGAAUGUGAAGAUGAUGAUGGAGAAAAUGACUCUGAAGAAGAAGAGGAGAAGUAAGGAAAGCAUGCAAAUUAAAACCAAGGCAGGAAAACUGGAGGGAAAGUCAGAAAAUACAGAGUAAAGGGGGGUGGCUGACUAAAAUCUCAUGGACCACUUCAUCCUCCUGAGGAUGCAUGUUUUUCACACACACGUUUCUGAUUAAUUUCCAUAUUCUGGGACAGGCGUGAAGUUGAAGAGUUCUGGCCUCAUCUAUGCAAAUCCCCCAAGGCAUGAGAAAAGCAAUCGUUCACAUGUAGAAGUCACCAGGGGGAGAAGCCAUGGAGUAGAGGGGCCCCAAGCAGCCUGCUCCCUGCUACUUCACUGAGGCAACCCCACGGCUUUUGGGGAGGUCAUGCUCCAGAGGGAAAAGGCAACAGCUGAGACGAGAGUACAGAGAGAUGGCAAAGUGUUUAUGUACCCACAGGAAUACCACAUGAAGAAAAAGGUAACAAGGUUUGACUAAUAUCAUUCUAUUUCUCAAAGGAAACAAGGAAUAUUUUGAAUGGCUGACAGUAAGCAUUUACACAGCUAGAAAUGUAUCUGUCUCACAUACGGAAGGAAAUCUAGUAUAUCUCAUGCUCUGCACAACAGCAGAGAGCAUUGGCUGCUGUACGUCAAAUAUUAAAAAAAGAACUAGACAUUAAACAAAACAUUAAAAAAG